GAUGAACGCUAGCUACAGGCUUAACACAUGCAAGUCGCGGGGCAGCAUGGGGGUUGCUUGCAAUCCCCGAUGGCGACCGGCGCACGGGUGAGUAACGCGUAUCCAACCUGCCCUUCACCACGGGAUAACCCGGCGAAAGUCGGACUAAUACCGUAUGUUGUCCAUUGACGGCAUCCGAUUUGGACGAAAGGCUUGGCGGUGAGGGAUGGGGAUGCGUCCGAUUAGCCAGACGGCGGGGUAACGGCCCACCGUGGCUACGAUCGGUAGGGGUUCUGAGAGGAAGGUCCCCCACACGGGAACUGAGACACGGUCCAGACUCCUACGGGAGGCAGCAGUGAGGAAUAUUGGUCAAUGGGCGUAAGCCUGAACCAGCCAAGUAGCGUGCAGGAUGACGGCACUAUGGGUUGUAAACUGCUUUUAUGCGGGGAUAAAGUGGCCCACGUGUGGGCUUUUGCAGGUACCGCAUGAAUAAGGACCGGCUAAUUCCGUG
rnacentral:rRNA from 1 species